rnacentral:lncRNA from 1 species
GCCGCCACCGCCUCAGGGAAGAGGAAGGAGGCCGCGGCUUCGCGUCCCGCCUCUCGCCUGGCUGGCCGUGGGGGGCCUGGACGCAGUGGCCUCCCGAAUCUCCCAGGACCCUAAUAUCGCCCGAGGAUGCUGGGAGGAACGCUGAGCCGACCUCUCCGUUAGGCUGAAGAUUGCACAAACCAUGCUAAUGGCCAGCAUGGAUGGAGGGAGCGUGUGAGAUGUGUGGGGCAGCGUGCUGCAUCUCAGCCAACUCCAGGAGGAAGCAUGCUCAUGGCAAUACCCGGAGUCUCCACUGCAAGACCAGAGUGACGGAGGCAGCAGAGCUCCUCAGCAGGCCAGGAGUCUCCAGAGGCACUGCCGAAUGUCUAAGAAGCAACCUCAUUGUAUUCCCAAGACCUGGGAAUCCAGGUCUCGCAGAUACGAUGAUACAAUCUAUAGCCAGGACAUCUCUUCAUGUGUAGGAUAAGCAACUAUCCCAGUCUUCCCAGGAUUGAGGGGCUUCUCCAGAUGCUGCACUUCUGGUGCUAAAAAUGAGAAACUGAAAUGAAUUAGUCACCCAAGGAAUGCUGACCCUGUGCUA